CCUACGGGAGGCAGCAGUGAGGAAUAUUGGUCAAUGGGCGAGAGCUUGAACCAGCCAAGUAGCGUGCAGGAUGACGGCCCUAUGGGUUGUAAACUGCUUUUAUAAGGGAAUAAAGUGAGCCUCGUGAGGCUUUUUGCAUGUACCUUAUGAAUAAGGACCGGCUAAUUCCGUGC
rnacentral:rRNA from 1 species